rnacentral:lncRNA from 1 species
UAUAGUUAUUUAUGUUUAAAUAAAAUAUAUUUACAAUUCUGAUAGAUAUAUAAAGAAAAGAAACAAAAUAUUAAAAGAUUGCUAUAAGAAAUAAUUCAUACGUAUAACUAGCUAAAGUUACUAUAAACAUCAUAGUUAAUAACCUUUAUAUUAUGCCUCAAGUAGAAAUAAAUAAAUAUCUACUAAUGUUGAAUAUAUUAGUUUAGUAGAUUAAAAUAUUAAUGUAAGUACAGUAUAUGAAAAAAAAACUUUUUUAUUUCUCACCUGUCAUAAUCCAAACGGAAACAGCUUUAUCUGAAAUGUCGGCACUUCCCUAUCAACCUCAGGUAACUUCACUUCCAUCUCUGCUCUUGCAUCUCUACUGCGCCAAUAUACUACUCACGUGUGUUUGCCAUGCCUACUCUAGGGAAUCAACACCCAAAAUGAUAUUAAGUCAUAUCAGUUUAAACGUGUGUUUGUCAAAACGCUAUGCUAAUUGAAAUAAAAUUGGUAUAAUUUAACCAGAUCCUCUAGAUUAAGUGGAGUGGAUAAUAUCAUCAAAAUCGUUCGAUCGAAUCGAUUGUGAUCAUUUUUAGCAGCCACCAUCCUCUAGUGCAGUGGUCUCCAAACUUUUUUGACUGCGUACCCUUAUGAUAAAAAUAAUCAUAAAUUGUACC